AUUUGUUGUGGGUCUGUAAGGCACUGUGUUAGCGCUAGUGCUGGAGGCAGACAGAGAGUCAGUUUCUUGUAUUUGUUGUGGGUCUGUAAGGCACUGUGUUAGCGCUAGUGCUGGGGGCAGACAGAGAGUCAGUUCCUUGUAUUUGUUGUGGGUCUGUAAGACACUGUGUUAGCGCUAGUGCUGGAGGCAGACAGAGAGUCAGUUUCUUGUAUUUGUUGUGGGUCUGUAAGACACUGUGUUAGCGCUAGUGCUGGAGGGAGACAGAGAGUCAGUUUCUUGUAUUUGUUGUGGGUCUGUAAGGCACUGUGUUAGCGCUAGUGCUGGAGGCAGACAGAGAGUCAGUUUCUUGUAUUUGUUGUGGGUCUGUAAGGCACUGUGUUAGCGCUAGUGCUGGGGGCAGACAGAGAGUCAGG